rnacentral:rRNA from 1 species
UGGGGAAUCUUGGACAAUGGGGGCAACCCUGAUCCAGCCAUGCCGCGUGAGUGAUGAAGGCCUUAGGGUCGUAAAGCUCUUUCGCCUGUGAAGAUAAUGACGGUAGCAGGUAAAGAAACCCCGGCUAACUCCGUGCCAGCAGCCGCGGUAAUACGGAGGGGGUUAGCGUUGUUCGGAAUUACUGGGCGUAAAGCGCACGUAGGCGGACCAGAAAGUUGGGGGUGAAAUCCCGGGGGCUCAACCCCGGAACUGCCUCCAAAACUAUUGGUCUAGAGUUCGAGAGAGGUGAGUGGAAUUCCAAGUGUAGAGGUGAAAUUCGUAGAUAUUUGGAGGAACACCAGUGGCGAAGGCGGCUCACUGGCUCGAUACUGACGCUGAGGUGCGAAAGUGUGGGGAGCAAAACAGGAUUAGAUACCCUGGUAGUCCACACCGUAAAACGAUGAAUGCCAGUCGUCGGGUAGCAUGCUAUUCGGUGACACACCUAACGGAUUAA